AAGAUUAAGCCAUGCAUGUCUAAGUAUAAGCAAUUAUACAGCGAAACUGCGAAUGGCUCAUUAUAUAAGUUAUCGUUUAUUUGAUAGUACCUUACUACUUGGAUAACCGUGGUAAUUCUAGAGCUAAUACAUGCUUCAAAUCCCGACUUCGGAAGGGAUGUAUUUAUUAGAUUAAAAGCCAAUGCCCUCUGGGCUCCUUGGUGAUUCAUAAUAACUUUUCGAAUCGCAUGGCCUUGCGCCGGCGAUGGUUCAUUCAAAUUUCUUCCCUAUCAACUUUCGAUGUUUGGGUAUUGGCCAAACAUGGUUACAACGGGUAACGGAGGGUUAGGGCUCGACCCCGGAGAAGGAGCCUGAGAAACGGCUACUACAUCCAAGGAAGGCAGCAGGCGCGCAAAUUACCCAAUCCCGACUCGGGGAGGUAGUGACAAUAAAUACUGAUACAGGGCUCUUUUGGGUCUUGUAAUUGGAAUGAGUACAAUUUAAAUCCCUUAACGAGGAACAAUUGGAGGGCAAGUCUGGUGCCAGCAGCCGCGGUAAUUCCAGCUCCAAUAGCGUAUAUUAAAGUUGUUGUGGUUAAAAAGCUCGUAGUUGAACCUUGGGCCUGGCUGGCCGGUCCGCCUCACCGCGAGUACUGGUCCGGCCGGGCCUUUCCCUCUGUGGAACCCCAUGCCCUUCACUGGGUGUGGCGGGGAAACAGGACUUUUACUUUGAAAAAAUUAGAGUGCUCCAGGCAGGCCUAUGCUCGAAUACAUUAGCAUGGAAUAAUAAAAUAGGACGCGUGGUUCUAUUUUGUUGGUUUCUAGGACCGCCGUAAUGAUUAAUAGGGACAGUCGGGGGCAUCAGUAUUCAAUUGUCAGAGGUGAAAUUCUUGGAUUUAUUGAAGACUAACUACUGCGAAAGCAUUUGCCAAGGAUGUUUUCAUUAAUCAGGAACGAAAGUUAGGGGAUCGAAGACGAUCAGAUACCGUCGUAGUCUUAACCAUAAACUAUGCCGACUAGGGAUCGGACGAUGUUAUUUUUUGACGCGUUCGGCACCUUACGAGAAAUCAAAGUGCUUGGGCUCCAGGGGGAGUAUGGUCGCAAGGCUGAAACUUAAAGGA
rnacentral:rRNA from 1 species